CUACGGGAGGCACCAGUGGGGAAUAUUGCACAAUGGGCGCAAGCCUGUUGCAGCCAUGCCGCGUGUAUGAAGAAGGCCUUCGGGUUGUAAAGUACUUUCAGCGGGGAGGAAGGGAGUAAAGUUAAUACCUUUGCUCAUUGACGUUACCCGCAGAAGAAGCACCGGCUAACUCCGUGCCAGCAGCCGCGGUAAUACGGAGGGUGCAAGCGUUGAUCGGAAUUACUGGGCGUAAAGCGCACGCAGGCGGUUUGUUAAGUCAGAUGUGAAAUCCCCGGGCUCAACCUGGGAACUGCAUCUGAUACUGGCAAGCUUGAGUCUCGUAGAGGGGGGUAGAAUUCCAGGUGUAGCGGUGAAAUGCGUAGAGAUCUGGAGGAAUACCGGUGGCGAAGGCGGCCCCCUGGACGAAGACUGACGCUCAGGUGCGAAAGCGUGGGGAGCAAACAGGAUUAGAUACCCUUGUAGUC
rnacentral:rRNA from 1 species